rnacentral:misc_RNA from 1 species
GGCCCUUGCUCGACAUCAUCGUGUGUUGUACUCAAUGGCGGUAUUUCUCUGGUAAGAGUGAAUUUUUCUGCAAAUUUUCGGAGACUCGGCUAUAAAUAUAAAUGUUGAUCUCAGAAUUGUGCGAGCGCGCGAGGACGCGCCGGAGUUGAGUCGAGUGGCACUCGUAUCAUCGUCAUGAUGACGAUGGUGCUCAUGUAACAGUCUCAGAUACGCCGUCGUCGUCGUUUAACGUGCCCGAGGGGAGCCUUUUGGCUAAAUGUCAGGGUACCCGUUCUUAUGCCAGCUGCAGAAUAUCCUACUCCGAUGAGCCGCCGUUGAGCGCACGUUGCUACUAGUUUGCACGUUCGCGGUUAACAAGGAUGGGCUUCUCCACGAGCCUGCAGGGUCAGGCAUCGCACGAGGCGCUGCUGGCUAGGCAGGAUGCCGAGAUCAAGCUCCUGGAGACGAUGCGCAGGUGCAUCACGACGAAGGUCAAGUCCGACCGGGAGUAUGCCUCUACCAUUUCCUCGCUCACCUCGCAAGGGAAGAAGAUUGAGCGCAACGAGGAGCUCGUUGGCAGUCUCAUAUUGCAGAGCUGGAGAGACAUAAUGGACUCGAUUGAUCAGACGGCGAAGCUAAUUAAGCAGCAAGCGGAUUCUAUUGAGAAUAUAGUUGUUGAGCAAUUAAGUAUGUUAUAUUCGGAGAGAAGAAGAGCCAGGAAGCUCUAUCAAGAGGAGCAGACCUGGCUGAACAAUCAGUUUCAGCAGUUGACAGAUGAUGUGACUAGGAAAAAAAUGGAAUAUCAGAAGAAUCUGGAGGUGUAUAAAUUAAUGAGGUCGCGAUUCGAAGAGUAUUAUGUUAAGUCUGGUAGGGGAGGUCGCAAGUUAGAUGAAGUGAGAGAAAAGUAUCAGAAAGCAUGCAGGAAGCUGCAUCUGACACACAAUGAAUAUGUACUACUGCUGGGUGCAGUGACGGAAUGCGAACAUGAUUUGAGAACUUGUUACUUGCCAAGUUUGCUUCAUCGGCAACAAGCUAUUCACCAAGAAUUUAUAACUUCAUGGAAAGGAAUACUUCAGGAUAUUGUAAAAUACUCAGAUUUUACAACAGAGAAAUUUCUGGAGAUCCAUGUACGAGUGCAAAAGGUAGUCGAUGGUGUCAAGCCUAUCGAAGAAUAUAGAGAUUUCAUUGGAAAGCACAAGACGAGGCCAGCAUCUCCAAUCAGAUUCACAUUUGAUGAGAAUCUUGUGGACGACACUUCAGGGAAAUUAUCACCAAAUAAGCUAACUGUAGAUAAUUUAACCAUAGAUUGGCUAAGAGGUCGUCUCACGGAGCUUGAGACUUCUCUCAAAACUACACAACAAAAUCGACAGAGCCCACAAUUUCCGCAAGAGAAUAAUAGUGAUUCUAGAAUUUCAAUCUUGGAUUAUUCUCGCGAAAGGGAAGAACUGAGAUUACGUUGUCAAGAGAAAAAAUUGCAAAGACAAGUGGAUGUUAUCAGAGGUGCUCUCAACGAAUUAGGCUGUGAGGAAUUACCGUCAGGUUGCGAUCUUUCUAUGGAAGGUUCUUUCACUGAAUCGUCUACAAUUAACAAAAGGAACACAGUCGCAGACAGUGGUUUGUUCACACUAAGAAGAAAUCAGCGAUUUAUAACAAUGUUAAAAUCACCUUUCAAAUCUUUGCCAGCAAUUACCGAUUCGAAAAACGGAGUGAUUAGAGCAAAUAGUGAGGGGCCUACGAUCAAAGCAGACAAUAAUAUCCCCCCCGUUGCACCAUUGCGUGUAACUUCGCAUUUAACUAACAAUCAAAAAACUAAUGGGAACGGCGGUCUCACGGAAGAGGAAUGGUUCCACGGGGUCCUACCGCGAGAAGAAGUUGUACGAUUACUCGUCAACGAAGGAGAUUUUUUAGUACGCGAAACGAUGAGGAAUGACGAGUGUCAAAUAGUUUUGUCCGUUUGCUGGGACGGACACAAGCAUUUUAUCGUGCAGACCACGCCAGAGGGGCACUACAGAUUCGAGGGACCUACGUUCCCGUCCAUUCAAGAAUUGAUCAAGCAUCAAUGGUUGUCUGGCUUGCCGGUGACUAGUCGAUCUGGUGCUAUUCUGAAGACGCCGAUCCUGCGCGAGCGGUGGGAGCUCAAUAACGAUGAUGUCAUCCUUUUGGAGAAAAUAGGCCGAGGGAAUUUCGGCGAUGUUUAUAAAGCACAACUGAAGACUGGCAAGACCGAGGUGGCGGUGAAAACAUGCAAGGUGACUCUGCCGGACGAGCAGAAGCGCAAGUUUCUACAAGAGGGGAGAAUAUUGAAGCAGUACGAUCAUCCGAACAUAGUCAAAUUGAUCGGUAUCUGCGUGCAGAAGCAGCCGAUCAUGAUCGUGAUGGAACUGGUACCUGGUGGUUCGUUACUUACCUAUUUACGGAAGAACGCUGGUACGAUAACGCAGCGGGAGCAACUGCGUAUGUGUAAGGACGCCGCAGCUGGAAUGAGCUACCUGGAAUCGAAAUAUUGCAUCCAUAGAGAUUUAGCCGCUCGCAAUUGCCUCGAUACGAAUGCAUAGUCAAAAUCUCCGACUUUGGGAUGUCCAGAGAGGAGGAAGAGUACAUAGUUUCGGAUGGCAUGAAACAGAUUCCUAUCAAGUGGACCGCGCCGGAGGCCUUGAAUUUUGGUAAAUACACGUCGCUUUGCGACAUAUGGAGUUACGGAAUUCUGAUAUGGGAGAUAUUCUCCAAAGGCGGUAAUCCGUACAGCGGAAUGUCCAACUCGCAGGCACGUGAAAAGAUAGACGC